UACGUAGGGUGCAAGCGUUGUUCGGAAUCAUUGGGCGUAAAGCGCGUGUAGGCGGUUAGUUAAGUCGGGUGUGAAAUCCCUGGGCUCAACCGAGGAAGUGCAUUCGAAACUAGCUAGCUAGAAGAUGGUAGAGGAAGGUGGAAUUCCUAGUGUAGAGGUGAAAUUCGUAGAUAUUAGGAGGAAUACCCGUGGCGAAGGCGGCCUUCUGGACCAUUCUUGACGCUGAGACGCGAAAGCGUGGGGAGCAAACAGG
rnacentral:rRNA from 1 species